UACGUAGGGUGCGAGCGUUGUCCGGAAUUACUGGGCGUAAAGAGUUCGUAGGCGGUUUGUCGCGUCGUUCGUGAAAACUUGGGGCUUAACUCCAAGCGUGCGGGCGAUACGGGCAGACUUGAGUACUACAGGGGUGAGUGGAACUCCCGGUGUAGUGGUGAAAUGCGUAGAGAUCGGGAAGAACACCCGUGGCGAAGGCGGCUCACUGGGCUGACCUUGACGCUGAGGCGCGAAGGCGUGGGGAGCGAACGGG
rnacentral:rRNA from 1 species